ensembl:snoRNA
GGCACUGUGUGGUAUCUGCAGCCGCUGCUUCAUCAGCUGGCCUGUUCAUAAGUCAGUGCUAAAGAAACUCAGCUUCUGGCAUCGUUGGUCUCCGUGCUACCUGUGUGUGGAGUCCUGGUAUUUUAGCUGAAACAUUC